UACGAAGGGUGCAAGCGUUAAUCGGAAUUACUGGGCGUAAAGCGAGCGCAGGCGGUUCUUUAAGUCUGAUGUGAAAGCCCCCGGCUCAACCGGGGAGGGUCAUUGGAAACUGGAGAACUUGAGUGCAGAAGAGGAGAGUGGAAUUCCACGUGUAGCGGUGAAAUGCGUAGAUAUGUGGAGGAACACCAGUGGCGAAGGCGACUCUCUGGUCUGUAACUGACGCUGAGGCUCGAAAGCGUGGGGAGCAAACAGG
rnacentral:rRNA from 1 species